AUUACCUGCUCUUCCCCUUCAUCCGGUCCAAGGGAGUCAGCCCUUGCCUUAAAUAUUUCUUUGAAUUUCCUGCCAAGAACACCAGCGCUUUGUCUUUCUCUGUCAUGGGAAAACUAUUUUAAAUUCCCUGUUUAACUGGUCAUAAACGUCUAGAGAAUGUACCACGCGUUUUGCUGGAGAAGCACAAAAGAGUUUCAUCCACCUCUGCAUAUUUGGUUCAUCGUCCACCUCUUAGGGGAGGUUUUCCAGGAUAGUAGUCAUGCGUAUGUAUCCUGAAGCCAGAAUGCUUGGUUCCAAUCCGGUUUUUCCUACAAUAAAUGUGUGAUUCAGGAGUGCAAUCUGAAGCCACUUCAAAGAAUCACCUUGUUUUCUUGCUGACAUUGCAGUGGGGACGAUGAGACCCAAGGACAUUCAGCCAAGAGGGAAAUGCAUUCAUCUCUUUCAGAUCUGCUAGACCAGGUGGAUAUCUAUCAAGUUCUCUU
rnacentral:lncRNA from 1 species